GACCAAUCGUAGAAGAGUCUCCUUUGAAAUUGCAGGAGAAUUAACGAAUCAGAGAGCGUGCCAGUCGGGGUCCAAGCCGCCCUUACCAGUUAACUAGGUCGGCCCCCUUUCAGCCUCUGUCUCAGUUAGCGUCGCUCCUGCGGGGACGCGUCCACUGUGGAGGCCAGUUCGUUCUCGCCGGAGAAGGCCCUGGUCUGCCUCUCUGGCCUCUCCGCAGUCUCGGCGGCUACCUAUCGAUUUACCUUGGGGCGCCGCCGCCAAGGAAUCCUAACAGGAAGGCCAGGAAUCUGGACCUGAGCUAUUUUUCUCAAGGUUUGGGGGGAGGAUUCUUCUAAAAGUUUGGAUCCAGCAUCUACUGCUGUUGCCACUACUAGGUCAAGCACCAUGCUGUUUACCUCAUUUUCAAAUGCUUCAUCCUCCACUGCUGCUACUGGGAUCUCAUUUGGUUCCCCGACAACUUCGACUGGAACACUUGGUGGUACAACUUUGGGAUUUGGAUUAAAAUUCCCUGGAGCCGGUGGAGCAAUGCCUGUUGCAUCUACUACAACAUCAACUACCACUACCACCACUGUCACCACCACUACCACCACUACCAUCACCAGUGGAUUUACCUUGAACAUAAAACCACUGACAUCAACUGGGAUUGAUAACACUGUUCCAGUCGGCAUUACUUCUAUACCUUUUACUUCGACUGUUAAUGCAAUCAUAACUCCUGUGAUGACAUAUGGUCAGCUGGAUGGUCUGGUAAACAAAUGGAGCCUUGAGUUAGAGGAUCAAGAGAAACACUUUCUUCACCAGGCCACCCAGGUCAAUGUUUGGGACAAUACUUUGAUUGAGAAUGGUGAGAAGAUUACUGCUUUGCAUGGAGAAGUAGAAAAAGUGAAACUGGAUCAGAAAAGGCUGGAAAAAGAAUUGGAUUUUAUCCUGUCACAGCAGAAGGAAUUGGAAGAUCUCUUGAUCCCUUUGGAGGAGUCUGUUAAGGACCAGAAUGGGUCUGUGUAUCUGCAGCACACAGAUGAGCGUGAGAGCACUUACAAGUUAGCUGAAAAUAUAGAUGCUCAGCUGAAACGAAUGGCACAAGAUCUCAAGGACAUUAUUGAGCACCUGAAUACCUUUGGAAGUCCUGCUGACACUACUGAGCCGCUCCAGCAGAUCUGCAAAAUUCUGAAUGCUCAUAUGGAUUCUCUGCAAUGGAUUAAUCAGACAUCAGGCAUGCUGCAAAGGAAGGUAGAAGAGGUAACACAGGUUUUCGAGCAUCGUCGUCGCCAGGAGCAAGACCGCAAUAUCAGGAUUGCUUUUGAUUGAAUGAUCCUGUCUUCAACAUGCUGUUUUUGGAUUAUACAUGACCUAUAAAUGUUAAUGGUGUUCAUCAGACUAGUAUUUACAGUUACAGUUCAAUCUUUGGUGGCAAUAAAGUGUAUGUUCAUUUUUUUCCCAUUUAAGUAUUGUGCUGUUGAGAAUGAUACUGUAGUUUGGCUUUUAGUAAUAGCAAAGCAAAGCUAUAUCGGCCCUUCUCUCUAGGCAGCAACCUAUUUGAUGUUGACUCUGUGCGUAAUUCGCGUCCUACUCUUCUAGGUUCCAUAUCUUACCGCCAGCACACAUGGUCCUCACUCCAACUGGAUCAUAGAGAAAUGUUUGCCAAAAAAGUAGAUGCCAACCAGUCUUUACUGGAUGCCUAUUAACAUUCAAUGUAUAGUGCUAGAUACUGUAAAGUCUCCUCAAAGGAACUGUCUACUUUGAUAUGUAAUUAAUGCCUUUCUGUAUAAAAACAAUAUAGACAAUGCAAGAAGUGUGUUAUGAAUUACAGAAAGUAUGUUAUAGAAAUUCAGAGACGGGAGGAAAAGCUAGGGAGGAUUUAGGAUUAAUUCAAGGUUAUUUUUAAAAGGGAAUCCAGGCAGUUCAUUUGUUUUUGAUGUACAGAUAAUCUGAUGUUUUACUUGGUUUUAGUGUAUGAUUUAUGGUUGUGGAUUUUGUGUAUUUGUUUGUUUAUUCGCUUCUUAAGAAAAAGCCUUGUUCUUAGCUUGGGAACAACUUGAUCUCUUGUGUUUCAUGCUUUACUGAAGUCAUAAAUAAAGGCGAUGCCCUGAAAAAUGAAAGUAUAACACUAAAAUAAACU
ensembl:lncRNA